UUGAUGAUUGUUCGUGAGUCCCCCAUGAUUGUCGCUGAGAGUAUACCCAUUGAGAUUCCUAACAUUAUGGCCUGUAAUCCUGCAUAUGCUUCUGCUGCAAAUGAAGAUGAAACGUUAUUAUUAAGGACAGUUUUCAAUGCUAGAAUCUCACCUAUCAGGCCCCGAACCACCAGACUCGAAGUCGAUUUGGAGUUUUUUUUUUUGUCAAAAGCUGCAUCAAACUAAAUCAUCACCCUCGUAUUCUCUUCUUGUUGUCUGUGGCUUCUAUCCAUAUGUAAGAUUAACCAUAAAGCACAGCAAAAAAGUCAGCACUAUUUACAAGUACCCCUCUUGAAAACCCAGAUUGACUUGAAGUGAAGUGGGUAGAUCGGAUCAACACAACAAAGCACACUAUCCAGAUCAAUUCCGGUAGCUUUUGUUUUAUGUUUGAAGAUUUAUAUGGCAUGUAUAGAGUUUAAAUGAAAUGAAGUAAAGAUGUUAUAAACUAGUUAACAACAUUUUGUACUAAAGCAGUUUUUGGUUAGUAGCAGUAGUUUGAGUUUGAAAAUUUACCAUAAAUCAUGAAAA